rnacentral:lncRNA from 1 species
AAGCUGCUUUAUAUCAUGUCACAAACAAGCUUCCAUAAAAUUCUCCCUAUGACUCUUAUAAUCAAAGAGCAGAGUGCUCUGGGGGAUACGAUUGCCAUAGUUUUCAUUGACACAUGUAUAGCAGUUCUGCCAACUUUUAAUUAAGCAAAUGCGUGAGAUUUGGCCAAAAUUGAAAAGAUCAAAGAGGGAAAACAAAUAGAUCCAAGGAUACUGCCGCAAAAAAGCAUGAACAUGCGUGAGUCUCACGCAUUUUUGGCAGCCCUAGUACAGCUGGAUAGUAUUAUUUUCAAAACUAAUUCAACUGCACAUGCAAAAUGUAAUAAUCUGAAUAGUCACUCAACUUUAAAAAUAGCCAAUCCCGGAAACAAGUGUAUGAGCAAUGUACUUAUUGUGUUUUAUUUUUGUACUAUCAAUUCCAAGUUUACUUUUCACAGCAGUCACUGAGAGUGAGAGAAGGUAUUUCACUUCGUAUCUUAUCACCGUUAAUUCUAGGAGGAACCCCAUUUCUAACUCUUUAAAUAUUAAUUUCCUUAGGGUCCUUGGGCAUGACUCCUUUCCGUACACACUCCUCUGUUUAUAAUUAAGAUUGUUCUUAAUAUAAUACGACGUUUUUGACAUCUAACGAGUUAAUUUUUCUUGACGAGUCGUAUUGUAUUUCGAUUUUGACGGAAAAUACUUCCAGAAGGGAGACAACUCGAAACGAUAAUAUGGAAGACUCCAUUUCGGCUGAAGGGGUGUUAUAGGUAAACACUACAUUUAUUUUAAUUUAAAUGAUGCAUAUGAUUUAAAAUUAUGCAACAACAAUAACCCUCAAUAGCAGACAGACAUAGAAAGAGUCCCAUGACUUUCAAAUUAAUCAAUGAAGCGGGGAUUCCAGAGCAACCACUCAAUCUGAUACCCCUUGAAAUCAAGAAAACUAUACACAUGCGCAUUAAUACAUAAACAAAACCACGACUUGCGAUUUGGAACAAGAACGUUUAUUAAAUGAUAUGAUGAAUGGUUCUCCAUUUCUUUAUGAGAGUACAGUAUCAAAUAUCAGUUUCAUAACGGUAAAAUAUGGAAAAACUCCACUUCAGUUCUUAUAUGACAGAAAUAGAAUUAUCGGAAGUCAGAGAACUCUCGCAUUUAUCAAAACUGGUGAAUUCCCUCUGACGUGUUUCUAAAUUUAUAAAAACACUAAAUAUAAAUACUGCUUAAUUCUGAUUUUCCGUGUUGUUAAAAACACGCAUAUAGGUCAAGGGAAAUAUCAAAUAUGAAUAUUAUGAGAAGAACAUUACAGGAAAGUUGUUUAUGUUCAAUCCUUUUGCCUGUUUUUACCUUUUAAAGCAAGACAAUCAUAAGAAUUGGAGAU